rnacentral:lncRNA from 1 species
GUAGAUUAUGCUUAAGACCAUCAACAUAUCGAACAUUAUCAAUAAAAGUUGAAGGGGUAAUUUGUACUUUACCUAUACCAAUGAUGUGACCUUGGUUAUUGUCUCCAAAAGUCACAGCACCUCCCUUCUUAGCUUCAAGGGUGAAGAAUUGAUCCUUGUCACCCGUCAUGUGUCUUGAGCAGCCACUAUCCAAGUACCAACAAUUCUUGUCGACCUUGGCUGCAAGACACUCCUACACAAGCAAAUCAUAUAAUCUUAGGUACC